UACGGAGGAUGCGAGCGUUAUCCGGAUUUAUUGGGUUUAAAGGGUGCGUAGGCGGCAUUAUAAGUUAGUGGUAAAAUAUUGGGGCUUCACCUCACUACGCCAUUAAUACUGUAGAGCUAGAGAACAGACGAGGUAGGCGGAAUUCGUGGUGUAGCGGUGAAAUGCAUAGAUAUCACGAAGAACUCCGAUUGCGAAGGCAGCUUACCAGUCUGCGACUGACGCUCAGGCACGAAAGUGUGGGUAUCGAACAGG
rnacentral:rRNA from 1 species